rnacentral:rRNA from 1 species
AAUGAACGUUGGCGGCGUGGAUUAGGCAUGCAAGUCGCGCGAGAAAUUUCCUUCGGGAGAUGGACAGCGGCGGAAGGGAGAGGAAUAAGUAGAAAUCUGCCCUCGGGACGGGGAUAGCGGCGGGAAACUGCCGGUAAUACCCGAGUAACAUCUUAGGAUCAAAUGGUGUGAUUCCGCCUGAGGAUGAGUCUACUUCCUAUUAGCUAGUUGGCGGGGUAAUGGCCCACCAAGGCAACGAUGGGUAGCGGGUGUGAGAGCACGAUCCGCCUCACUGGGACUGAGACACUGCCCAGACACCUACGGGUGGCUGCAGUCGAGAAUCUUCGGCAAUGGGGGAAACCCUGACCGAGCGACGCCGCGUGCGGGAUGAAGGCCCUCGGGUUGUAAACCGCUGUCGUAAGGG